rnacentral:rRNA from 1 species
GAUGAACGCUGGCGGCGUGCCUAAUACAUGCAAGUCGAGCGAACAGACGAGGCUCUUGCUCCGCUGACGUUAGCGGCGGACGGGUGAGUAACACGUGGAUACCCUACCUAUAAGACUGGGAUCACUUCGGGAAACCGGAUCUAAUACCGGAUAAUAUAUUGAACCGCGUGGUUCAAUAGUGAAAGACGGUUUUGCUGUCACUUAUAGAUGGUUCCGCGCCGCAUUAGAUAGUUGGUACGGUAACGGCUUACCAAGGCAACGAUGCGUAGCCGACCUGAGAGGGUGGUCGGCCACACUGGAACUGAGACACGGUCAAGACGCCUACGGGAGGCAGCAGUAGGGAAUGUUCCGCAAUGGGCGAAAGCAUGACGGAGCAACGCCGCGUGAGUGAUGAAGGUCUUCGGAUCGUAAAGCUCUGUUAUGAGGGAAGAACAAAUGUGUAAGUAAAUAUGCACGUCUUGACGGUACCUAAUCAGAAAGCCACGGCUAACUACGUG